CGGGCCCGCACAAGCAGCGAGCGUGUGGUUUAAUUCGAUGUUACACGAAGAACCUUUACCAGGGUUUGACAUGCAAGUGGUAGGAAGCCGAAAGGUGACCGACCCUUCGGGGAGCUUGCACAGGUGCUGCAUGGCUGUCGUCAGCUCGUGUCGUGAGAUGUUCGGUUAAGUCCGCUAACGAGCGCAACCCUCGCUGUGUGUUAUAUGUGUCACACGGGACUGCCGGUCUUAAGCCGGAGGAAGGUGAGGAUGAUGUCAAGUCAGCAUGACCUUUAUAUCCAGGGCUACACACACGCUACAAUGGUCUGUACAAUGGGUAGCCAAGCCGCGAGGCGGAGCCAAUCCUGAAAGCAGGCCUCAGUUCAGAUUGCAGUCUGCAACUCGACUGCAUGAAGCCGGAGUUGCUAGUAACCGCAGGUCAGCAAUACUGCGGUGAAUACGUUCCCGGGUCUU
rnacentral:rRNA from 1 species